rnacentral:sRNA from 1 species
GUUCGCCGAAACGACGUCAAAAAUGCUUGACACUGAUUCGCGGAAGUGGGAUUCUCUAGUUGCUACACGAGAGAAGGGUUUCCGCAGCGCUAGUCGUUCGGAAGCCUUUUUCUUUUGCUCUGUUUAGUCUCCUGUUUCCCGUUGAUAUUCGAGGUAGAGCGCUUCGAGCCUCUGCCUCACGAAU